rnacentral:rRNA from 1 species
GAAUUUUGGACAAUGGGCGAAAGCCUGAUCCAGCAAUGCCGCGUGCAGGAUGAAGGCCUUCGGGUUGUAAACUGCUUUUGUACGGAACGAAAAGCUUCUGGCUAAUACCCUGGACUCAUGACGGUACCGUACGAAUAAACACCGGCCAACUACGUGCAAGCACCCGCGGUAAUACGGAGGGUGCAAGCGUUAAGCGGAAUUACUGGGCGUAAAGCGUGCGCAGGCGGUUUUGUAAGACAGAGGUGAAAUCCCCGGGCUCAACCUGGGAACUGCCUUUGUGACUGCAAGGCUAGAGUACGGCAGAGGGGGGUGGAAUUCCGCGUGUAGCAGUGAAAUGCGUAGAUAUGCGGAGGAACACCGAUGGCGAAGGCAACCACCUGGGCCUGUACUGACGCUCAUGCACGAAAGCGUGGGGAGCAAACAGG